AGUGAACGCUGGCGGUAGGCCUAACACAUGCAAGUCGAACGGCAGCACAGUAAGAGCUUGCUCUUACGGGUGGCGAGUGGCGGACGGGUGAGGAAUACAUCGGAAUCUACUUUUUCGGGGGGGAUAACGUAGGGAAACUUACGCUAAUACCGCAUACGACCUACGGGUGAAAGCAGGGGAUCUUCGGACCUUGCGCGAUUGAAUGAGCCGAUGUCGGAUUAGCUAGUUGGCGGGGUAAAGGCCCACCAAGGCGACGAUCCGUAGCUGGUCUGAGAGGAUGAUCAGCCACACUGGAACUGAGAACCGGUCCAGACUCCUACGGGAGGCAGCAGUGGGGAAUAUUGGACAAUGGGCGCAAGCCUGAUCCAGCCAUACCGCGUGGGUGAAGAAGGCCUUCGGGUUGUAAAGCCCUUUUGUUGGGAAAGAAAAGCAGCAGGUUAAUACCCCGCUGUUCUGACGGUACCCAAAGAAUAAGCACCGGCUAACUUCGUG
rnacentral:rRNA from 1 species